rnacentral:piRNA from 1 species
UCUGACUGCAACCCUUAAGAAUGGGGUCUC